rnacentral:rRNA from 1 species
GCUGACGAGUGGCGGACGGGUGAGUAAUGUCUGGGAAACUGCCUGAUGGAGGGGGAUAACUACUGGAAACGGUGGCUAAUACCGCAUAACGUCGCAAGACCAAAGAGGGGGACCUUCGGGCCUCUUGCCAUCAGAUGUGCCCAGAUGGGAUUAGCUUGUUGGUGAGGUAACGGCUCACCAAGGCGACGAUCCCUAGCUGGUCUGAGAGGAUGACCAGCCACACUGGAACUGAGACACGGUCCAGACUCCUACGGGAGGCAGCAGUGGGGAAUAUUGCACAAUGGGCGCAAGCCUGAUGCAGCCAUGCCGCGUGUAUGAAGAAGGCCUUCGGGUUGUAAAGUACUUUCAGCGGGGAGGAAGGUGUUGCGGUUAAUAACCGCAGCAAUUGACGUUACCCGCAGAAGAAGCACCGGCUAACUCCGUGCCAGCAGCCGCGGUAAUACGGAGGGUGCAAGCGUUAAUCGGAAUUACUGGGCGUAAAGCGCACGCAGGCGGUCUGUCAAGUCGGAUGUGAAAUCCCCGGGCUCAACCUGGGAACUGCAUUCGAAACUGGCAGGCUUGAGUCUUGUAGAGGGGGGUAGAAUUCCAGGUGUAGCGGUGAAAUGCGUAGAGAUCUGGAGGAAUACCGGUGGCGAAGGCGGCCCCCUGGACAAAGACUGACGCUCAGGUGCGAAAGCGUGGGGAGCAAACAGGAUUAGAUACCCUGGUAGUCCACGCCGUAAACGAUGUCUACUUGGAGGUUGUGCCCUUGAGGCGUGGCUUCCGGAGCUAACGCGUUAAGUAGACCGCCUGGGGAGUACGGCCGCAAGGUUAAAACUCAAAUGAAUUGACGGGGGCCCGCACAAGCGGUGGAGCAUGUGGUUUAAUUCGAUGCAACGCGAAGAACCUUACCUGGUCUUGACAUCCACAGAACUUUCCAGAGAUGGAUUGGUGCCUUCGGGAACUGUGAGACAGGUGCUGCAUGGCUGUCGUCAGCUCGUGUUGUGAAAUGUUGGGUUAAGUCCCGCAACGAGCGCAACCCUUAUCCUUUGUUGCCAGCGAUUAGGUCGGGAACUCAAAGGAGACUGCCAGUGAUAAACUGGAGGAAGGUGGGGAUGACGUCAAGUCAUCAUGGCCCUUACGACCAGGGCUACACACGUGCUACAAUGGCGCAUACAAAGAGAAGCGACCUCGCGAGAGCAAGCGGACCUCAUAAAGUGCGUCGUAGUCCGGAUUGGAGUCUGCAACUCGACUCCAUGAAGUCGGAAUCGCUAGUAAUCGUGGAUCAGAAUGCCACGGUGAAUACGUUCCCGGGCCUUGUACACACCGCCCGUCACACCAUGGGAGUGGGUUGCAAAAGAAGUAGGUAGCUUAACCUUCGGGAGGGCGCUUACCACUUUGUGAUUCAUGACUGGGGUGAAGUCGUAACAAGGUAACCGUAGGGGAACCUGCGGUUGGAUCACCUCCUUACCUUAAAGAAGC